GAUGAACGCUGGCGGCGUGCUUAACACAUGCAAGUCGAACGAGAAGUGAAGACGGAACCCUUCGGGCGGAAGGCUUUAUUUCGAGUGGCGGACGGGUGAGUAACGCGUGGGUAACCUGCCUCAUACAGGGGGAUAACAGUUGGAAACGACUGUUAAUACCGCAUAAGACCACAGCACCGCAUGGUGCGGGGGUAAAAACUCCGGUGGUAUGAGAUGGACCCGCGUUCGAUUAGCCAGUUGGCGGGGUAACGGCCCACCAAAGCGACGAUCGAUAGCCGAUCUGAGAGGAUGACCGGCCACAUUGGGACUGAGACAUGGCCCAAACUCCUACGGGAGGCAGCAGUGGGGAAUAUUGCACAAUGGGGGAAACCCUGAUGCAGCGACGCCGCGUGAGUGAAGAAGUAUUUCGGUAUGUAAAGCUCUAUCAGCAGGGAAGAAAAUGACGGUACCUGAGGAAGAAGCCCCGGCUAACUACGUG
rnacentral:rRNA from 1 species